UACGGAGGGAGCUAGCGUUGUUCGGAAUUACUGGGCGUAAAGCGCACGUAGGCGGCUAUUCAAGUCGGGGGUGAAAGCCCGGGGCUCAACCCCGGAACUGCCCUCGAAACUAGAUAGCUAGAAUCUUGGAGAGGCGAGUGGAAUUCCGAGUGUAGAGGUGAAAUUCGUAGAUAUUCGGAAGAACACCAGUGGCGAAGGCGGGUCUCUGGACAGUUCCUGACGCUGAGGCACGAAGGUCAGGGGAGCAAACGGGG
rnacentral:rRNA from 1 species